UUAAAGGGAAGAAAUCCACAUCACGUGGUUCUUUUGAAGCAACAGCAGUAGAAAGUACUACCGUGUCUCCAUAACGUACAAGCGCAGCACCAUUAGCUUGCUUAGCUAAUUGUCCUGUCUCGAUUGUUAAUGAACGGUUUGCCCAUUCAGUUUUAAAAACUUUUUUCUCUUGAGACAUUAUAAAUCUCCUCUCCUAUAUCUAAUAAUCCUAUCAUAUCAUUUAUUUAAGUAAUUUUAUAUUAGUAUAUUUAAGUAUUAUCAACCUAUUUCUUAUCGAACAACUACUAUAAUAUACUAAUUUUUGA
rnacentral:antisense_RNA from 1 species